rnacentral:lncRNA from 1 species
CAGCUGAAAGUAUUCAACAAUCAAUUAGACAGGGCAAUCUCUAUGUUGAACUGAAAAAAAGGGCCCCUAGCAGACAACUAACCGCAAGUAUUCAACAACCAACUAUUAAAUAAUUAAAAGUGCAUAUUUGUGUGUUUGUGGUGUGGAUAAAUCAACAAACCAAAGGAGAUUGAAACAAUCUGUAACAGAAAACCUAUGAAAAUCACCAGAAGAAUGGAUGAGGUAUCACCUAGCUCAACUCAACAUGAAAAAGACUUGGAAACUGUCCAGAGUCGAUAUCAAGUUUAGUGAUCUUUGAUCUUCAAUGAUUCAAUCAGAGAAAAAGGGCAAAAAGCUGAAAAGAACAAUGUUCAAGGAAUUUCUAGAACUAAGUUCUUAGCCAGAUUCAGCUCAGUACAUGGUAAAAAAUCCAUAGAUCCUUCUUGGUAUUGAGACUCCUGAACUCACCAGGGUGUUCCAAAACAACAGGAAACUCGGCAAGGGUGUGUCUGCUGAUGAACAGUAUGAAAUAGUGAAACCUUAAGUCGACAGAACAUAACUACCGGUCAAACUUGAAUUCACUAGAAAAAUGUUGAGUUAUGACUACACGGAGCUAAUAAAACUGGGGAAAAAUGAAGCAGCUGCAUUGAUUAACAAUGUCAAAUGUAUAAAGAAUUAAAGAGAAACAGAAUGACAUGAAACAAGCAAAUGAUGCUUUUCGUUAUUAUCAAUUCCUCUAUUUCUCAAUGUCAAUUAACAAGUGGACAAGAACUACAUGUUCAUUAACAAUUUCGAGAUCAGCCACCUGUUUCAUGUUAUUACAUAACAGUCUUCUGGAGGUUUAGCAAUGCCUCUUCCAUAGGUUAUCAUAUCAUAAGAAAACAACUAGUGAAAAUGAUAAACUUACGUGACAACCCAAUUCCAGCUA